UCAUGUGUGAUUGUCUAGAUGAGUCCAAGCGAAGCUUUCUGGGAAGUCACUGUUCUAUGGUUAACUGCUUUAUGGACCCUUGCUCCAUGGCACAGUGCACAGGAGGCUGUGUCCCAGAUUGCAACUGCCAAGCCGUGUGCCAAUAGGGAAUGACGAAAACUUCAACGAAGACAAACCUCGCAUCCUUAACUUAAAAAGCAUUGUAAUCCAAAUGGUCAGAUGCCCAUAUAAUAAGGAUAGCAACAGGCGCUUCUAUAGUACUGGUACAGCUGAAACGAUCAUAUGAGUUGGGUGAACUUGGACACUAUACCCCGACCAAAACUUCAUCUAUUUAAACUCUUUUCCGUCUCAUGUACGAGGAAAAUUCGGUAUCUUCUCGUCAGUAAACAAAAAUGAAAAAUG